GUUAUCAUAGCUUAAACUAAAGCAUAGCACUGAAAAUGCUAAAAUGGUUGUACCUGAUUAACA
rnacentral:tRNA from 1 species